ACCUGAUCCCAUCCCGAACUCAGAAGUGAAACGCAGCAUCGCCGAUGGUAGUGUGGGGUCUCCCCAUGUGAGAGUAGGUCAACGCCAAGC
rnacentral:rRNA from 1 species